AUGAAUGACCAAAUGGAGAGAAAUACCUUCUUCCGGGUGCCCACCGAUGAAAAGGAGCAGAAUGAAACCAAGAAUACACACAAGCCUCCCGAUCGAAAAUCCUCAGUGUCCUCAAGGCAAGGGCUGACACUGUCUCCACUUGGAGAUUUCCCCUUCUGUCUCAUCCAAAUGGGCUGCGGCAUCCCGCACUGGAUGGUGGAAAUCCCCUCCUGGAAAAGAGCCGGGUAAAUCAGAUCAGGAAACUCACUGAGCUCAGAGCUGCAUGUCUGUGUCUGGAGACCUUGGAAGGUGCCAGGGCCAGUGCGGUUCCUGGUUCCUUUAAAGGCAGUGCUUAGGUGGAUGAGUCAGCUCCGACUUUCCAGCAAAUAAUCCCGGUAUGUUAUUGCUGGCCAGGACAAUCAUCUUUAAAAAGCAGUAGUUGAUACAUAAUGUACAACCACUGAGGUAAAGUGCUUGACGGGCAUAGGGAAUUUCUCAGUACUAUCUUUGCAACUUCCUAUAAGAUCUAAAAUUACUCCAAAAUAAAAAGUUAGAAAAAAAUAAAAGAAAAAAAGAAACCCAGGUUACCAGCCAUAAUACAAACUCUUGAUAGAGGUCAUUAUUUUGGAUUCUAAAAAUAAGAGACACACAAAAAUGCCUGUAUGAAUUAGGCAUUUGGUGGACUUCUCAUGUAACCAUUUCUAACUUUUGAUAGGUUUUUUAUUUUUCUAUGUAUUUUUAAGCCAUUUACCACACUACAGUAGAGAUAAUAUGAUACGCUGGAAUGUGGCACGGUCACAGAAAUAAAGAAUCCAAACUUUCAAAAACACAGGGGGAAAAGAUGAACAAUUCCCCCAGGAGUCCUUAAUUCAUAUCUUUUGCGGGUGCCUCUGUUCCUUGGAAGUUUUUGCUAUUAAAAAGCAAAGAAACAUAAAAUACUAGAGUGGAUUCUGGAGACUGAAAAUGCCAAGUUUAAAUGACUCGGGUGUGAGGACAGUGUUGUAGGUUGAAUUGGGUCCCUCCCAAAAGACAUUGGAGUCCUAACCCUCUACAACGGUGUCAAUGUGACCUUAUUUGGCAAUGGGGUCUUCACAGAUGACCAAGUAAAAAUAAGGUCAUUAGGAUGGGCCUUAAUUCAAUAUGACUUGUGUCCUUAUACAAAGGAAUAAUUUGGACCUAUAGACAGACAUACACAGAGAGAAGAUGAAGGCAGAGACUGAGGUGAUGUUUCUAGAAUCUAAGAAGACUGAAGAUUGGCAGCAAAUCACCAGAAUCUAGGGAAGAGGCAUGAACAGAUUCUCCCCCACAGCCCUCAGAAGGAAUCAACCCUGCAAUACCUUGGUCCCGGACUUCCAGCAUCUAGAAGAGUGAGACAACAAAUUUCCGUUAUUUUAAGCCAUCUGAUGUGUGGUACUUUAUUAUGACAGCCUUAGCAAAGUAAUAUAGCCCAGCCUCAGGGUGGCUGGAUGGCUCAGUCAGUCAGUCUGACUUCAGCUCAGGUCAUGAUCUCAGGGUUUGUGCGUUUGAGCCACAGAGCUCUUUGAAUCCUGUCUCCUUU
rnacentral:lncRNA from 1 species